rnacentral:rRNA from 1 species
UAGUGGCGAACGGGUGCGUAACACGUGGACAAUCUGCCUUAAAGUGGGGGAUAGCUCGGCGAAAGCCGAAUUAAUACCGCAUGUGAUCAGGGAAGACAUCUUUCCGAAAUCAAAGCCGGGGCAACCUGGCGCUUUUUGAGGAGUCCGCGGCCUAUCAGCUUGUUGGUGAGGUAACGGCUCACCAAGGCUUUAACGGGUAGCUGGUCUGAGAGGACGACCAGUCACACUGGAACUGAGACACGGUCCAGACACCUACGGGUGGCAGCAGUCGAGAAUUUUUCUCAAUGGGGGAAACCCUGAAGGAGCGACGCCGCGUGGAGGAUGAAGGUCUUCGGGUUGUAAACUCCUGUCAUUUGGGAACAAGUGCCAUACGUUAACUGCGUGUGGCUUGAUAGUACCAGAAGAGGAAGAGACGGCUAACUCUGUGCCAGCAGCCGCGGUAAUACAGAGGUCUCAAGCGUUGUUCGGAUUCAUUGGGCGUAAAGGGUGCGUAGGUGGCGCCGUAAGUGGGGUGUGAAAUUUCGGAGCUUAACUCCGAAACUGCAUUCCAUACUGCGGUGCUUGAGGACUGGAGAGGAGACUGGAAUUUACGGUGUAGCAGUGAAAUGCGUAGAGAUCGUAAGGAAGACCAGUGGCGAAGGCGGGUCUCUGGACAGUUCC